rnacentral:rRNA from 1 species
CCAGUUCAUGUGGAGUCAAUGUUGAAAUACCACUCUGGUCACUCUGGAUAUCUAACUUAGAACCGUAAUCCGGUUCAGGGACAGUGCCUGAUGGGUAGUUUAACUGGGGCGGUUGCCUCCUAAAAUGUAACGGAGGCGCCCAAAGGUUCCCUCAGGCUGGUUGGCAAUCAGCCGUCGAGUGCAAUGACACAAGGGAGCUUGACUGCGAGACAGACAUGUCGAGCAGGUACGAAAGU